AUGGGUAACGUACCCGGGGGUCGUGGAUAGCCUUCCUAACGGAUGGGUAAUACACGGCGAUUCGGCGAGGGGACAUCCUCUUGCCGGGAAAGAAUUUCGCCUCCGGAGCGGCUCAUAUCGUAUUAGCUAGUUGGUGAGGUAACGGCUCACCAAGGCAAAGAUGCGUAGCGGGUGUGAGAGCACGACCCGCGCCACUGGCACUGAGACACUGGCCAGACACCUACGGGUGGCUGCAGUCGAGGAUCUUCGGCAAUGGGCGAAAGCCUGACCGAGCGACGCCGCGUGGAUGAUGAAGGCCUUCGGGUUGUAAAAUCCUGUCGAGGGGGAUCAAGGGCAACUUGAGUGAUCCCCGGAGGAAGCACGGGCUAAGUUCGUGCCAGCAGCCGCGGUAAGACGAACCGUGCAAACGUUAUUCGGAAUCACUGGGCAUAAAGGGCGCGUAGGCGGCUCCAAAAGUCAGGGGUGAAAUCCGGCAGCUUAACUGUCGCAGUGCCUUUGAUACUGUGGAGCUA
rnacentral:rRNA from 1 species